rnacentral:rRNA from 1 species
CCACACCAAAAAACUUUCCACGUGAACCGUUAAAAUUAUGUUCUGUGCCUUCUCUCGGGAGGGCUGAACGAAGGUGGACUGCGAUGCAACUUCGAUUGUGUUGCGGACUGCCGAUGUAUUUUUCAAACCCAUUAACUAAUACUGAUCUAUACUCCUAAAACGAAAGUUUUUGGUUUUAAUCCAUAACAACUUUCAGCAGUGGAUGUCUAGGCUCGCACAUCGAUGAAGAACGCUGCGAACUGCGAUACGUAAUGCGAAUUGCAGAAUUCAGUGAGUCAUCGAAAUUUUGAACGCACAUUGCACUUUCGGGUUAUGCCUGGAAGUAUGCUUGUAUCAGUGUCCGUACAUCAAACUUGCCUUUCUUGUUUUGUGUAGUCAAGACUGGAGAUGGCAGAAUGUGAGGUGUCUCGCUGGCUCCCUCUUUUAUUAGAGGAGAAGAUGCGAGUCYCUUUAAAUGUACGUUCGCUCUUUCUUGUGCCUUGGAUUGAAGUGUGACUUUCGAAYGCGGUGAUCUGUUUGGAUCGCUUUGCUCGAGUGGGCGACUUCGGUUAGGACAUUAAGGAAGUGACCUCUAUUGGCGGUAUGUUAGGCUUCGGYCCGACUUUGCAGCUGACGGGGUGUUAUUUUCUGUUCUUUCCUUGAGGUGUACCUGUCUUGUGUGAGGCAAUGGUCUAGGCAAAUGGUUAUUGUGUAGUAGAAUUUUGCUGCUCCUUGGCGCCGCGUGGUUAUUUUUUCGGAGAUGACUGUGCGGUAGAGAAGGCAACACCGAUUUGGGACAGCUUGUGGAUUUAUUCAUGAGCGCUUUUUAAUUGGACCUGAUAUCAAGUAAGACUACCCGCUGAACUUAAG